UACAGAGGUCUCAAGCGUUGUUCGGAUUCAUUGGGCGUAAAGGGUGCGUAGGUGGCGCUGUAAGUCAGGUGUGAAAUUUCGGAGCUUAACUCCGAAACUGCAUUUGAUACUGCGGUGCUUGAGGACUGGAGAGGAGACUGGAAUUCACGGUGUAGCAGUGAAAUGCGUAGAGAUCGUGAGGAAGACCAGUGGCGAAGGCGGGUCUCUGGACAGUUCCUGACACUGAGGCACGAAGGC
rnacentral:rRNA from 1 species